UUAGAACGUCGCGAGACAGUUUGGUCCCUAUCUGCCGUGGGCGUCGAUUGUUGAAAGGAGUUGCCCCUAGUACGAGAGGACCGGGGUGAACGUACCUCUGGUGUACCUGUCAUCCUGCCAAGGGUGCCGCAGGGUAGCUAUGUACGGACGGGAUAACCGCUGAAAGCAUCUAAGCGGGAAGCCUCCCUUGAGAUAAGCAAUCUUCGAACCGUCAUAGACCAUGACGUUGAUAGGCCGGGUGUGGAAGCGCAGUAAUGUGUGGAGCUAACCGGUCCUAAUAGUUCUUUUCGCGCUUG
rnacentral:rRNA from 1 species